rnacentral:rRNA from 1 species
UACGUAGGGUGCAAGCGUUGUCCGGAAUUAUUGGGCGUAAAGAGCUCGUAGGCGGUUUGUCGCGUCUGCUGUGAAAACUGGAGGCUCAACCUCCAGCCUGCAGUGGGUACGGGCAAACUAGAGUGCGGUAGGGGAGAUUGGAAUUCCUGGUGUAGCGGUGGAAUGCGCAGAUAUCAGGAGGAACACCGAUAGCGAAGGCAGGUCUCUGGGCCGAUACUGACGCUGAGGAGCGAAGCGUGGGUAUCAAACAGGA